UACGUAGGGUGCAAGCGUUAAUCGGAAUUACUGGGCGUAAAGAGCGUGUAGGCGGCUUUACAGGUCCGUUGUGAAAACUCGAGGCUCAACCUCGAGACGCCGGUGGAAACCGUAAAGCUAGAGUCCGGAAGAGGAGAGUGGAAUUCCUGGUGUAGCGGUGAAAUGCGCAGAUAUCAGGAGGAACACCCGUGGCGAAAGCGGCUCUCUGGGACGGUACUGACGCUGAGACGCGAAAGCGUGGGGAGCAAACAGG
rnacentral:rRNA from 1 species